AUUGAACGCUGGCGGCAUGCCUUACACAUGCAAGUCGAACGGCAGCACGGGUGCUUGCACCUGGUGGCGAGUGGCGAACGGGUGAGUAAUACAUCGGAACAUGUCCUGUAGUGGGGGAUAGCCCGGCGAAAGCCGGAUUAAUACCGCAUACGAUCCACGGAUGAAAGCGGGGGACCUUCGGGCCUCGCGCUAUAGGGUUGGCCGAUGGCUGAUUAGCUAGUUGGUGGGGUAAAGGCCUACCAAGGCGACGAUAAGUAGCUGGUCUGAGAGGACGACCAGCCACACUGGGACUGAGACACGGCCCAGACUCCUACGGGAGGCAGCAGUGGGGAAUUUUGGACAAUGGGCGAAAGCCUGAUCCAGCAAUGCCGCGUGUGUGAAGAAGGCCUUCGGGUUGUAAAGCACUUUUGUCCGGAAAGAAAUCCUUGACUCUAAUACAGUCGGGGGAUGACGGUACCGGAAGAAUAAGCACCGGCUAACUACGUG
rnacentral:rRNA from 1 species